UACGGAUGAGGACGCUUUUGUUGACAGAAGAUAGAGAGCACAACUGAACAUACCCAGAAAAGGCCUGUGUAUGAGCAGCCUUGUGCUCUCUUUUCUUCUGUCAAUGGAAUUUUCUGUCAGAGUU
rnacentral:pre_miRNA from 1 species